CAGAGGGUGCGAGCGUUGUCCGGAAUCACUGGGCGUAAAGGGCGCGUAGGUGGCGCGACAAGUCAGUGGUGAAAGUUCGACGCUCAACGUCGAAUCGGCCACUGAUACUGUUGGGCUUGAGCACUGUAGAGGCUAAUGGAAUUCCGGGUGUAGCGGUGGAAUGCGUAGAGAUCCGGAAGAACACCGGUGGCGAAGGCGGUUAGCUGGGCAGUUGCUGACACUGAGGCGCGACAGCGUGGGGAGCAAACAGGAUUAGAUACCCUGGUAGUCCACGCCGUAAACGAUGGGCACUAGAUGCUUGGGGGAGCGACCCCCUGAGUGUCGACGCUAACGCAUUAAAGUGCCCCGCCUGGGGAGUACGGCCGCAAGGCUG
rnacentral:rRNA from 1 species